GUGCUUGCUUCGGCAGCACAUAUAUUAAAUUGGAACCAUGCAGAGAAGAUUAGCAUGGCCCCUGCACAAGGAUGACAUGCAAAUUUGUGAAGCAUUCCAUUUUUUU
ensembl:snRNA U6 U6 spliceosomal RNA